rnacentral:rRNA from 1 species
UACAGGGGGGGCAAGCGUUGUUCGGAAUUACUGGGCGUAAAGGGUUCGUAGGUGGCCAACUAAGUCAGACGUGAAAUCCCUCAGCUUAACUGGGGAACUGCGUCUGAUACUGGAUGGCUUGAGUGCAGGAGAGGAAUGCGGAAUUCCAGGUGUAGCGGUGAAAUGCGUAGAUAUCUGGAAGAACACCAAUGGCGAAGGCAAUGUUCUGGCGCGUUUCUGACGCUCAGGUGCGAAAGCCAGGGGAGCGAACGGG